AUUACUGGGCGUAAGCGCGCGCAGGCGGUUUGUUAAGUCAGAUGUGAAGCCCCGGGCUCAACCUGGGAACUGCAUCCGAUACUGGCCGGCUAGAGUGUGGUAGAGGGAGGUAGAAUUCCC
rnacentral:rRNA from 1 species